ACCUGGCUGGCUCAGUUGGUAGAGCAUAUGACUCUGGAUCUCAGGGUUGUGAGUUUGAGCCCCACGUUGGGCA
rnacentral:tRNA from 1 species